UGGGGAAUCUUGGACAAUGGGGGCAACCCUGAUCCAGCCAUGCCGCGUGAGUGAUGAAGGCCUUAGGGUCGUAAAGCUCUUUCGCCUGUGAAGAUAAUGACGGUAGCAGGUAAAGAAACCCCGGCUAACUCCGUGCCAGCAGCCGCGGUAAUACGGAGGGGGUUAGCGUUGUUCGGAAUUACUGGGCGUAAAGCGCACGUAGGCGGACCAGAAAGUUGGGGGUGAAAUCCCGGGGGCUCAACCCCGGAACUGCCUCCAAAACUAUUGGUCUAGAGUUCGAGAGAGGUGAGUGGAAUUCCAAGUGUAGAGGUGAAAUUCGUAGAUAUUUGGAGGAACACCAGUGGCGAAGGCGGCUCACUGGCUCGAUACUGACGCUGAGGUGCGAAAGUGUGGGGAGCAAACAGGAUUAGAUACCCUGGGUAGUCCACACCGUAAAACGAUGAAUGCCAGUCGUCGGGUAGCAUGCUAUUCGGUGACACACCUAACGGAUUAAGCAUUCCGCCUGGGGAGUACGGUCGCAAGAUUAAAACUC
rnacentral:rRNA from 1 species